rfam:Triticum aestivum genome assembly, contig: Triticum_aestivum_CS42_TGACv1_scaffold_194028_3AL
UUAAUACUCCCUCCAUCCCAAAAUUAUUGUUUUAGAUUUGUCUAGGUACGGAUGUAUCUAAUACUAAUUAUUGUCUUAGAUUUGUCUAGAUACGGAUGUAUCUAAUAAUCCGUAUCUAAUAGUAUUAGAUACGGAUUAUUAGAUACAUCCGUAUCUAAACAAAUCUAAGACAAGAAUUUUGGCACGGAGGGAGUAUUAA